rnacentral:rRNA from 1 species
GAUGAACGCUGGCGGCGUGCUUAACACAUGCAAGUCGAACGAAGCAUUUUACCGGAAUUUCUUCGGAGAGGAAAGUAAAAUGACUGAGUGGCGGACGGGUGAGUAACGCGUGGAUAACCUGCCAUAUACAGGGGGAUAACAGUUAGAAAUGACUGCUAAUACCGCAUAAGCGCACAGUAUCGCAUGAUACGGUGUGAAAAACUACGGUGGUAUAUGAUGGAUCCGCGUCUGAUUAGCUAGUUGGUGGGGUAAUGGCCCACCAAGGCGAUGAUCAGUAGCCGACCUGAGAGGGUGACCGGCCACAUUGGGACUGAGACACGGCCCAAACUCCUACGGGAGGCAGCAGUGGGGAAUAUUGCACAAUGGGCGAAAGCCUGAUGCAGCGACGCCGCGUGAGCGAAGAAGUAUUUCGGUAUGUAAAGCUCUAUCAGCAGGGAAGAAAAUGACGGUACCUGACUAAGAAGCCCCGGCUAACUACGUG